AACUGCAAGCAUGCCGUACGAGGUCAAUUACUCAAACGUUAGUCCUUUGGAUAAAAUGGGAGAAAAGCUUGACUACGUGUUAAAAAAUGACAACAAACCCUGCGUAGUAUUGUAUAACAAAAAAUGCAGACCAAAUAAAUCGAUUUUUGAAAAAUCUAAAGAGCAAUGUCGAAAGGAAAAUCAUAUUGGAGAUUUAACUCAACCAGAGAACAAGGCAAAGGAACAUGACCUAAGGGAUAGUUACGAAACGAGGAG